UACGGGGGGAGCAAGCGUUGUUCGGAUUUACUGGGCGUAAAGGGCGCGUAGGCGGCCACCGCAAGUCGACUGUGAAAUCUCCGGGCUUAACCCGGAAAGGUCAGCCGAUACUGGCGGGCUAGAGUGCAGAAGGGGCAACUGGAAUUCUCGGUGUAGCGGUGAAAUGCGUAGAUAUCGAGAGGAACACCGGUGGUGUAGACGGCUUUCUGGACCGUAACUGACGCUGAGACACGAAAGCGUGGGUAGCAAACAGG
rnacentral:rRNA from 1 species